CUUGACUUUAUAUUGCGAUUGGCAACUUUCAUAAAUUAGGUGCAUUACCACCACUGACCUUGUUCGUCUUUCACUCACCCACGUGGGUUUAACCAAUGAGGAGAUGGCACAUGGGUACCUGCUUCUAUAAACCAAUGAGGAGAUUGGAGAGGCAGGACUUGCAGCGUGAUCUGCGUCACAAAUAGGACUGACUUCUAUUUUAGCCCUUGGCAACACAGACGCUCGUUGGCAUGCGCGAGCAGUGUGGGUGCAAUAAUUGAAUAAUAUAGAUUUCUAAAUGUAUUUUGCUACGGUCAGCCUGUAAGGCACUGCAUCGCAGUGCUAGCUGUGCCACUAGAGAUUCUGGGUUAGAGUCCUGGCUCUGUCGCAGCCGGCCGCGACCGGCAGACCCAUGGGGCGGCACACAAUUGGCCCAGCGUCGUCCGGGUUAGGGGAGGGUUUGGCCGGCAGGGAUGUCCCAUCGCGCACUAGCGACUCCUGUUUUGGGCGCGCUGAAUUUUAAAAAACUAAUUAAAAAAAAAAAUAACUGUUGAAGUCUCGGGGAAGCAGCUCGCUGAAACAACUCUCAGAGAACCUCUAGGUGGGUCUUUACACGUAUACACGUCAGCAGCCCUGUCUUUCUCUACCAUCAGCUAUACUCAUGGUACUGUCACUUCCUGUCUCUCCCUACCAUCAGCUAUACACACGGUACUGUCUCUUCCUGUCUCUCCCUACCAUCAGCUAUACUCACAGUACUGUCUCUUCCUGUCUCUCACUACCAUCAGCUAUACUCAUGGUACUGUCUACCUGUCUCUCCCUACCAUCAGCUAUACUCAUGGUACUGUCUCUACCUGUCUCUCCCUACCAUCAGCUAUACUCAUGGUACUGUCUCUACCUGUCUCUCCCUACCAUCAGCUAUACACACGGUACUGUCUCUUCCUGUCUCUCCCUACCAUCAGCUAUACUCACAGUACUGUCUCUUCCCGUCUCUCCCUACCAUCAGCUAUACACACGGUACUUUCUCUUCCUGUCUCUCCCUAGCAUCAGCUAUACUCAUGGUACUGUCUCUUCCUGUCUCUCCCUACCAUCAGCUAUACUCACAGUACUGUCUCUUCCUGUCUCUCCCUACCAUCAGCUAUACUCAUGGUACUGUCUCUACCUGUCUCUUCCUACCAUCAGCUAUACUCAUGGUACUGUCUCUUCCUGUCUCUCCCUACCAUCAGCUAUACUCAUGGUACUGUCUCUACCAUCAGCUAUACUCACGGUACUGUCUCUUCCUGUCUCUCCCUACCAUCAGCUAUACUCACAGUGCUGUCUCUUCCUGUCUCUCUCUACCAUCAGCUAUACUCACGGUACUCUCUUCCUGUCUCUCCCUACCAUCAGCUAUACCCAUGGUACUGUCUCUUACUACCAUCAGCUAUACUCACGGUUCUGUCUCUUCCUGUCUCUCUCUUCCAUCAGCUAUACUCAUGGUACUGUCUCUUCCUGUCUCUCUCUUCCAUCAGCUAUACUCACGGUUCUGUCUCUUCCUGUCUCUCUCUUCCAUCAGCUAUACUCAUGGUACUGCCUCUUCCUGUCUCUCUAUACCAUCAGCUAUACUCAUGGUACUGCCUCUUCCUGUCUCUCUAUACCAUCAGCUAUACUCAUGGUACUGUCUCUACCAUCAGCUAUACUCAUGGUACUGUCUCUACCUGUCUCUGCAGAGUUUGUACUGUGUCAAUUUAAAAACAAGGCAGCCAUCUUGAUCUGACUAAAUACAUGGGAUACAAUACAACAUGUUUCCAAGUGGACAAGUAUUGUCAGAGAAUAUAUCUAAACCUGGCUGGUAGAAAGACGAUAUUCAAAACUAAACAUGACCACAUCAGCAGGAUUCCCAACAUUCAACUACUUGUCUGAGUCAAGUGGUCUGAUCUCUUGCCUAGUUAAAUAAAGGUUAAAUAAAACAUCUCUCUCUCGCUCUCUACAAAGUUUGAGGGCCCUGGUGUGAGGAAGCUGUCACCCUGCUUGACAGAACCUGACAUUUCCAAAGGUCUGUGAGGAGGAUCGUUUGUGACAGCUUCAAAUUACAGUGUGGGAGAAAGGGAAGGAUGGAGGGACUAUAAAUGUCACUUCCAGGAGGUGAGGGGGAAGGAUGGAGGGACUAUAAAUGUUACUUCCAGGAGGUGAGGGGGAGGUAUGGAGGGACUAUAAAUGUUACUUCCAGGAGGUGAGGGAGAGGGAUGGAGGGACUAUAAAUGUCACUUCCAGGAGGUGAGGGGGAGGGAUGGAGGGACUAUAAAUGUCACUUCCAGGAGGUGAGGGGGAAGGAUGGAGGGACUAUAAAUGUCACUUCCAGGAGGUGAGGUGGAGGGAUGGAGGGACUAUAAAUGUUACUUCCAGGAGGUGAGGGAGAGGGAUGGAGGGACUAUAAAUGUCACUUCCAGGUGGUGAGGGGGAAGGAUGGAGGGACUAUAAAUGUUACUUCCAGGAGGUGAGGGGGAGGGAUGGAGGGACUAUAAAUGUUACUUCCAGGAGGUGAGGGCGAGGGAUGGAGGGACUAUAAAUGUUACUUCCAGGAGGUGAGGUGGAGGGAUGGAGGGACUAUAAAUGUUACUUCCAGGAGGUGAGGUGGAGGGAUGGAGGGACUACAAAUGUCACUUCCAGGAGGUGAGGGGGAAGGAUGGAGGGACUAUAAAUGUCACUUCCAGGAGGUGAGGGGGAGGGAUGGAGGGACUAUAAAUGUCACUUCCAGGAGGUGUGGGGGAAGGAUGGAGGGACUAUAAAUGUCACUUCCAGGAGGUGAGGUGGAAGGAUGGAGGGACUAUAAAUGUUACUUCCAGGAGGUGAGGGGGAGGGAUGGAGGGACUAUAAAUGUCACUUCCAGGAGGUGAGGGGGAGGGAUUAUAUAUUGUGCCUCUAAAAAAAAAAAAGACGUUACAUGGGCAUUUCUCACAAUGGAAAAAUAUUUCCUGCCUGAGCCCUCUCUCUCUUUGUCUCUCUCUCUCUCUCUCUCUCUCUCUCUGCCCUCUCUCUCUCUCUCUGCCCUCUCUCUCUCUGCCCUGCCCUCUCUCUCUCUCUGCCCCCUCUCCCUCUGCCCUCUCUCUCUGCCCUCUCUCUCUGCCCUCUCUCUCUGCCCUCUCUCUCUGCCCUCUCUCUCUGUCCUCUCUCUCUGUCCUCUCUCUCUGUCCUCUCUCUCUGUCCUCUCUCUCUGUCCUCUCUCUCUGUCCUCUCUCUCUGUCCACCUCUACAUUAUUACAGCUGUUUACAGCCCCUCUCUCUGUCUUCAAGAGAGAGAAUACAUUAUUACAGCUGUUUACAGCCCCUCUCUGUCUUCAAGAGAGAGAGAACCUUAUUGCAGCUGUUUACAGCCUCUCUCUCUGUCUUCAAGAGAGAGAAUACCUUAUUACAGCUGUUUACAGCCCCUCUCUCUGUCUUCC
rnacentral:lncRNA from 1 species